CAGUCGCCGCGGUAAUACGUAGGUCCCGAGCGUUGUCCGGAUUUAUUGGGCGUAAAGCGAGCGCAGGCGGUUAGAUAAGUCUGAAGUUAAAGGCUGUGGCUUAACCAUAGUACGCUUUGGAAACUGUUUAACUUGAGUGCAAGAGGGGAGAGUGGAAUUCCAUGUGUAGCGGUGAAAUGCGUAGAUAUAUGGAGGAACACCGGUGGCGGAAGCGGCUCUCUGGCUUGUAACUGACGCUGAGGCUCGAAAGCGUGGGGCGCAAACAGGAUUAGAUACCCGUGUAGUCCCUGUCUCUUAUACA
rnacentral:rRNA from 1 species